UACGUAGGGUGCGAGCGUUGUCCGGAAUUAUUGGGCGUAAAGAGCUUGUAGGCGGUUUGUCGCGUCUGCCGUGAAAGCCCAGGGCUUAACCCUGGGUCUGCGGUGGGUACGGGCAGACUAGAGUGAUGUAGGGGAGACUGGAAUUCCUGGUGUAGCGGUGAAAUGCGCAGAUAUCAGGAGGAACACCGAUGGCGAAGGCAGGUCUCUGGGCAAUUCCUGACGCUGAGGCGCGAAAGCGUGGGGAGCAAACGGG
rnacentral:rRNA from 1 species